CUUCAGCAUUCCAUUCCAAAUCGAAACAUUUUUAGAGCUGUGCAACAUAUUUCCAGACGGGUAAUUUGUUUGCGUCGAAACUAGAACACUUCUAUUGACUAGACAGGCACUUUCUCAGGCGGCCACGCAUUGAAAGUUGGAGGCGGGCGGGCGGACGAAUGGGCAGCGAGCUCUGCGAGCGGGGUCCUCUUGCCAGGCUCCUGUGAGCCGGUUCUGCGGGAGGAGGCUCUGGGGGCGCGCGUGCCGGGCGCGCGCUGGCCAGCCCUCAAGGCCGCUCAGGGAGCUGAGCUGCGCCUGGAGCUGUCGGGCGCCGGGUGCCUGGAGAGCAGGUCGAGUCUCUUGCCGCUAAGGAGACCAGUGUGGCUGAUCCAUAACAAAGAAGGCGAGAAGAAAAUGAGAUCAGAGAGGUUAUAAAGGUCUCUUUGACACUAACCUUCAAAGCUAUGGUCCAGUCAACAUGAUGCGAUCCAUGUAAUUGGCCAUUAUGAUUUUCUGUGGAAUUAAGAGAUGAUCAAAGACCCUGCAGGAGAGCUGCAGAGUUGAUGUAUCCCUGAGG